AUAAGCCCCAUCCCAUGGGCUGCCAGGGGGUGGGGCCUUGUGGAGUCCUGGGAAGCUAGAGCAGCAUCAGUCCUGGUAAAGACUGAAAAGUAUGGACCAGAAGAUUGAAGCGUCCCUGUAAGACCCAAGAAGAAAGACCACCUCGUUCAACUUUUUGCCCACCCUGUGACAAGAAAAGAAAAAGGGACCAGAAAAGGGAAUUUUCAGACGUUCUGCUUAAAGUUUUACCCUCUCCUCUCCUUAAUCUUGACCCAGUGACUACCAGCUCUGUCCUUACUCUUGGCCAGUCAACCACCCUCACAUCUGCCCCACUCAAAAAU
ensembl:lncRNA